GACGAACGCUGGCGGCGUGCCUAAUACAUGCAAGUUGAGCGCUGAAGGUUGGUACUUGUACCAACUGGAUGAGCAGCGAACGGGUGAGUAACGCGUGGGGAAUCUGCCUUUGAGCGGGGGACAACAUUUGGAAACGAAUGCUAAUACCGCAUAAAAACUUUAAACACAAGUUUUAAGUUUGAAAGAUGCAAUUGCAUCACUCAAAGAUGAUCCCGCGUUGUAUUAGCUAGUUGGUGAGGUAAAGGCUCACCAAGGCGAUGAUACGUAGCCGACCUGAGAGGGUGCUCGGCCACAUUUGGACUGGGACACGGCCCAAACUCCUACGGGAGGCAGCAGUAGGGAAUCUUCGGCAAUGGACGAAAGUCUGACCGAGCAACGCCGCGUGAGUGAAGAAGGUUUUCGGAUCGUAAAACUCUGUUGGUAGAGAAGAACGUUGGUGAGAGUGGAAAGCUCAUCAAGUGACGGUAACUACCCAGAAAGGGACGGCUAACUACGUG
rnacentral:rRNA from 1 species